rnacentral:rRNA from 1 species
CCCUUAGAUGUUCUGGGCCGCACGCGCGCUACACUGACGAAUGCAACGAGCUUAUAACCUUGGCCGAAAGGUCUGGGUAAUCUCCAAAUUUCGUCGUGAUGGGGAUAGAUUAUUGCAAUUAUUAAUCUUCAACGAGGAAUGCCUAGUAAGCGCAAGUCAUCAGCUUGCGUUGAUUACGUCCCUGCCCUUUGUACACACCGCCCGUCGCCCCUACCGAUUGAAUGGUCCGGUGAAGCGCUCGGACCGCGGCCUCUUGACGGUUCGCUGUCGAUUGGCUGUGGGAAGUUCGUUAAACCUUAUCAUUUAGAGGAAGGAGAAGUCGUAACA